AAAAUAUGGUUUUAAUAAUAAUUUAUAUAUUUUUAAAAAUAAUUAAUAAGAAGUUCAAUAGCCAGAGAAACCAGUAAAUGAAAAAAAAAACUAAAAUAAGAGAAAAGAGAGAGAGAGAAAAAAAGAAAAGAGUAAAACUAUAACCAGUUGUUCGCUGGAAAUGGGAUUGCCAUAACACAAGAAAACAAAUAACAUAUAAUAAGCAACCUUCGGUCUGGUCUUCAACAGCAAUCAAUCCUUGUUUUUCACUUCUCUUUUUCUGUUCUUCUCCAACCAAACAAUUUUUUUUUUCUCUUACAGGGUGAAGGGGGGGUGUUAGAGAUCACCAAUCACCACACCCAUCAAUGGAGAAUUCAUCAAGGUUAGUACAAGACAACAAGAACUUGAACUUCCCAUCAUCCUCAUCUUCAUCAUCUCCUUUAAACUCCCCACACAGCAAUGGAACCAACCCCAACAACAGCAAUGGGGGUGUCCAAAUUCCCACCCCACCUUUAACUCCAAUCCCCAUCUCCAGAUCUGAGACCAACCCUUACCCAACAACCUUUGUCCAAGCUGACACAACUACUUUCAAACAGGUUGUCCAAAUGCUCACUGGUUCAUCCGAAACUGCUAAACAAGCCUCCUCUAAGCCUCCAACACAACAUCAUCAUCAUCAUCAUCAUCAACAAGAUCCAGCACUCCCAUCAAAAUCAUCUUUUCCUAUACCUCCCAUGAAAACCAACUCCCCCAAGAAGCAAAAUUUCAAGCUUUAUGAGAGAAGAAACAGUAACCUGAAGAACAACCUCAUGAUCAACACUUUCCUUCCUUCUAACAACGGUGGAGGUGGUGGUGGUGGUGGUGCUUUUUAUUCGCCGAGGAAUGCAGAGAUCUUGUCUCCAAGCUUGCUUGACUUCCCAAAGCUAGCACUUAGCCCGGUUACACCAUUAAAUGAAGACCCUUUCAACAAGUCUUCACCUUCUUUAGGGAAUUCAUCUGAGGAAGAGAAAGCUAUAGCUGAGAAAGGCUUUUACUUGCAUCCAUCACCUAUGUCAACACCUAGAGAUACUGAGCCUCAGCUUUUACCACUCUUUCCUGUUACUUCUCCAAGAGUUUCAGGCUCUUCUUAAACAUAUGUUAGUUUGAGAGUGAUUUGUCAACUGGGUUUUGGCUGAAAUUUGAGUGAUAAAAAAAAAAGGAAGUUAAGAGGAUCUUUCUUCAAUUGUAUGAUUUGAUCUCCCUUUGAUUAUGAAAGCAAGUCCUUUAAUGUAACCUUUGCAGCUCUUUUCUGCUAAAAGGGUAUAAGAAAUGGAACUCAUAAGUUCCUUUAAACCAUGACCUCACUAAGAUAAUUUACAGACACUACAGUUGUUGUAAGAAUACUGUUUAUUUGCUUUCUUUGAUGAUUUGAUUUCUAUUUAGCAAAAGAUCAAAAAGAUGAAGAUAUUUCUUUGUUUUUCAGAAAAAAAAGUGAGGGAGGUGUGACUUGCAGAAUGAAGACUUUUUGGCUGGUUUUAAUAAUGGACCAUCAUAGUUUUACAAGGAUGUCUGUUUUUUGAGUCCAAUUCACUGGAAAAAAAAUAAUUUUUGGGUACAUUUUGUUCUUAAGAUAAAAUUGGAAAAAAAGUUGGAAACUUUAGUAAUUGUUUUGUACUAUGUAAAGAGUACUACACUAUUGUCUUUGUAAACUCUAUUCAUUUACAUUAGCCAAAAAACUUUGCAGUUGUUAAUCAA